CGCCGGGCCGGAGAAAUCAAGGUCAACCGAGAUUUCCAUGCUUCACCGGCCGAAGAAAACAAUCUCGCUUCACCGGCGUCUAUUCAUAUGUCGCUUCACCGGCGUCGUCGGUUCAGAUAUCACUUACCGAGCCUUCAAUUCAAUAUGUCGGUUCAACUUUGCAUCCUUUUACCCUUCUAUUUACGAGCGGUUGAAUCGCCCCAUCCGUUUGAAUUGAAGCCUACUUUAAGCCUCGAACUCAAAGCACACCUUUCCGACCACAUUUCUUAUGGGCUUUGAUUGACUACUGGUGACAGCUAGGAUCAUAGAUUCAAGAUUACAUGUUCUACACCCAGUUUGCUUCCAAUUCGUACCACUCGCGAUUAAGUCCAUGUGUGGUCAUGGUUACCUUAGAUGUUACGCUUGAUGUAUUUUGCUACUCUGGCUUCAAGAUGGGUAUACAUUUCAAAGCGGACUAGACUCACUUUAUUAGUACCAGAGAUGGACAAGAGAUUUAUACUCAGAUUUUAACGAGAAUUCACAAGUUGGGGAGUUGUUCAAAGGCAUUUGUCGUCUUUUAUACGAGCAGGUCUGUGCUUCCCAACAACUUCAAGGUGGUGCUUGCUUCGUACAUCAAGUCUCUCUCUCUCUCUCUCUAAUUAUAUGUGUGUUUGGAUUUAGGCGUAAUGUGACAAUCUUGAUGAAAUUUGACAUUGUAGAUGAUCGCAAUGAUGUUUGUAUUGUUAUUGUGUAAUUAGUUCACAAGUCUACCUACAACUUCACAGCCUGUGAUUAAGAUUACGAUAGUUUAUAACUCUUCUUAUAGCAAAGACAUUAACAUGUCAAUCUUUUAAUUAUGUAUUAACAUAAAUAAUAAUUAAUAUAUCUCGAGAUAUUACAUUA